GAAUGGUAGGGCAAUCUGGCUGUGACAUCUGCCACUCCACUCUGCCACCCCAUUGAUGGCCAGAGUUGAUUUGGCUGAUCUGGCUGGCUUGGCGGGUGUCCCUUUCCACCCUCACCACUCCAAAUGAGUCCCUUCUGAAGCUGCGUGAUCUUUCAAGGAUAAUCACCCUGAAUAGAGGACCGUUUCCUCGUCAAGGGUAUGCGAGUAGCUGCACUCUCCUUCUAGAACCUCCAAACAAGUUCUCAAAAGAUAUUGAGAGCCUAUACACUUCUUUAUCAUUCUCAAAUUUCCUCAUAUACUUAGGUCUGUUUCAGA
rfam:Fukomys damarensis contig132510, whole genome shotgun sequence.